CCCUUAGAUGUCCGGGGCCGCACGCGCGCUACACUGAAGGAAUCAGCGUGGCUUUCUCCCUGACCCGAAAGGGUUGGGAAACCCGUUGAAUCUCCUUCGUGAUAGGGAUUGGGGCUUGAAAUUGUUCCCCAUGAACGAGGAAUUCCCAGUAAGCGCGAGUCAUAAGCUCGCGUUGAUUACGUCCCUGCCCUUUGUACACACCGCCCGUCGCUACUACCGAUUGAAUGGUCCGGUGAAAUCUUCGGAUUGAGACUUUGAUUUGUUUACUCAAAACGCUGUUUCAAGAAGUUGAUUAAACCUUACCAUUUAGAGGAAGGUGAAGUCGUAACA
rnacentral:rRNA from 1 species